rnacentral:lncRNA from 1 species
CUUUUUCCAGGUCUGGUUAGAACCUGCCAUGCAUACAUUAAAAGAUAAGUAUUUACAUUAACAAUAACAACUGAACCAAAAAGACAAUAGACAGUUCAAGUUGGGUUCGUAAUAACAAAAGCACAACUCCUUUAUUCUACUGUAACUUUUAAAACAAAAGCAUCUGCAUUUAAAAAGAAAACGUGUCGUAUCUAGCUGCUUGCAACGAACAACCUUUCAAUUGGAAAAGUAGACCUGAGUAAUCGACAUUCGUGGAAGAUCUGGUGCUAGGGUUUUGGCGAGAGUAUGAUUCAAAGAAGAUCAGUGAUUCCUCACGAGCACCUUAACGCGAUCUUAACUGAUGAGGAGACAGUGGGUUCUAUUGAUUACCCCAUUAUCACUAUCAAUUACUAUGUUGACUGAAUUGGGACGGAGACGAUCUGACGGUUACGCUUGACACCACAACGACGAAGAACUUAUGUUGGCAUUGAUACUUGGUGAGUGAGCCAGAACAAAAUUAGGUAACUGGGUCACGGUUUUCA